GUGGGGAAUAUUGGGCAAUGGGCGAAAGCUUGACCCAGCAACGCCGCGUGAAGGAAGAAGGUUUUCGGAUCGUAAACUUCUAUCCUUGGUGAAGAUAAUGACGGUAGCCAAGAAGGAAGCCCCGGCUAACUACGUGCCAGCAGCCGCGGUAAUACGUAGGGGGCAAGCGUUGUCCGGAAUGAUUGGGCGUAAAGGGCGCGUAGGCGGCCCGGUAAGUCUGAAGUGAAAGUCCUGCUUUUAAGGUGGGAAUUGCUUUGGAUACUGUCGGGCUUGAGUGCAGGAGAGGUAAGCGGAAUUCCCGGUGUAGCGGUGAAAUGCGUAGAGAUCGGGAGGAACACCAGUGGCGAAGGCGGCUUACUGGACUGUAACUGACGCUGAGGCGCGAAAGUGUGGGGAGCAAACAGGAUUAGAAACCCUUGUAGUCC
rnacentral:rRNA from 1 species